ACAUUUCUAGCUUGCUAGAAGAUGACGAGCGGCGGACGGGUGAGUAAUGCUUGGGAAUAUGCCUUAGGGUGGGGGACAACAGUUGGAAACGACUGCUAAUACCGCACAACGUCCACGGACCAAAGGGGGCUUCGGCUCUCGCCCUUAGAUUAGCCCAAGUGGGAUUAGCUAGUUGGUGAGGUAAUGGCUCACCAAGGCGACGAUCCCUAGCUGGUUUGAGAGGAUGAUCAGCCACACUGGAACUGAGACACGGUCCAGACUCCUACGGGAGGCAGCAGUGGGGAAUAUUGCACAAUGGGCGCAAGCCUGAUGCAGCCAUGCCGCGUGUGUGAAGAAGGCCUUAGGGUUGUAAAGCACUUUCAGUAAGGAGGAAAGGUUAGUAGUUAAUACCUGCUAGCUGUGACGUUACUUACAGAAGAAGCACCGGCUAACUCCGUGCCAGCAGCCGCGGUAAUACGGAGGGUGCGAGCGUUAAUCGGAAUUACUGGGCGUAAAGCGUACGCAGGCGGUUUGUUAAGCGAGAUGUGAAAGCCCCGGGCUCAACCUGGGAACUGCAUUUCGAACUGGCAAACUAGAGUAUGAUAGAGGGUGGUAGAAUUUCAGGUGUAGCGGUGAAAUGCGUA
rnacentral:rRNA from 1 species